UUACGGCCAUAUCACGCUGAAAAACACCGGUUUUCGAUCGAUCACCGAAGUUAGAGCCUGGUCAGUAUUUGGUUGGGUGACCGCUUGGGAAUAACAGGUGCUGUAA